ensembl:lncRNA
CGUGGGGACGUUCUGCUGAUCUGAAUGUGGAACCAAAAACAGGAUGUUCUUCACGGCCGAAGCUGCUGCAGUUCGAUGGUGGUGGAGAUUAACAGGUGGAGUCCGAUGAAGGCGUAGCUCCACUUCUCUUUCGUCGCCUUUGAAAGGACCUUGUGGCUCUCGAGGCGCUCUGAGGCGGCGAGAUACCGGCGGCGAGACGUGACAGUCAUGAUGGAGGCCUUUCUGUUUGUUUGAUCAACACAAGAUAAAGAAAGACUCUCUAAAUGACACCUUCUAACCGCCGUUAUGCCGCAAGACUUCUGCAUUUGGAAAUGUGCUGUAAUAGUAAUAAUUACAGGUUUUUUUCGGUUGCUACACACACACACACACACACACACACACAUAUAUUACAGUAUAUAUAUAUAUAUAUAUAUAUAUAUAUAUAUAUGUAUGUAUUACAGUAUAUACAGGUAGAGCUCAGAAUGGAAGAAGGAAGACGGGUUGGUGGAGACAAAGAAGACAAAGAGCUGUUACUUCAGAUGGAAUAAGGCUUCACUUAUGGACCAUGUGGGGAACCACGUCUCUGACUGAGAGCGUUGAGGGUGGAACCCGAUCUGCAAACAUCCACAGUGUGAUGCAACUUCUCCAUCACACAAACAGGUGAGAGGAGUUUCUCUCUGCCUGGAGGUGGAAGGUGUUUGGUCUCCACCCACAUGACCACAUGUCCCUUUGGGAAGCCGGAUGUGAGGACACGAGUCCAGAGGACGGCCAGGGAUGGACGAGGCUUCCAGAAGGUUCUUCCCCAGGUUGAUGGAGAGAGAACAUGAGAUGUGAUGGUGAUGAGAACCUGUGUCCUGAUGCUACAGAGGCAGAUCAGCCCUCAGUUUGUUCACAUUACAGUCUGUACUUUUACUUUCUACCUUUUUCUCAUUACUGUAAUUCUGUAAAUUACUACAGACGAUUGAAGCAAACGGCUAAUUUUCAUUUACCUUAAAGAAUUGUUAUGUUCUAAAAAUGUAAUAAAUCACGUGAAAGAAUGUGACUCUUUUCUUUGAAGAAAAUCUUACUUUGUAUGACGUCACUGAAGUGGUUCAAAGUGUAAAGAUGAACAGUGAGUAUUUUGUGUGUUUGUUGACAGUGUGUGUUGUGAGUGACAGUGUGUGUUGUGAGUGACAGUGUGUGUUGUGAGUGACAGUGUGUGUCCUGAGUGACAGUGUGUGUUGUGAGUGACAGUGUGUUGUGAGUGACAGUGUGUGUUGUGAGUGACAGUGUGU